CUCUUCCUUUAUUGCAUGUAUCAACGUCUGGGGUAGUUGCUGUGUGUCUAGGACUAGACAGCACAGCGCAACUGUGGAAUAAAAAUAAUCGUUUGGACCGGAGGCGAAAAUAAUUUCAGUAUUUGGAGGUUAUGUUCGAAUUAGUUAUGAAUCAACUUGAUGAAUACGUAAAUUCUUUGGUAAACUAUACAGGACAGGAGAAAAUUCAUUUGAGGUAAGUGAACAUUGCCCCCUUCGAUUAGAAAUUCAUUUUAUAAAAAAUAUGGGGGACUUAAAAAACGAAAAAGAGGCCCUUCUUCAAUGAUAGAUAAAAAUUAAAGGAAAUAGUGAAAAAAAUAGUUUUUUAAUGUUCGUUUGGCCAUGACUUUGUGCAACAAGAAGAUGAGGCACAUUGAAUUCUUUCCUAAUGCAUGAUAUGACAAAUCAAUUACCAGGAAGACAAUAAACAUUUAUUGACCGUGAUCUUGAGUUACGUUACUCUUUCACUUUUUUCUUUUACACGAUUCACUACUUGUUGCAAGGCUAUCAACGUACGUGCCCAGAAUGAUAAACAAAAAAUGUCUUUAAGUACAUCAGUAAACAAAUAACUAUUGGAAAUGUCAGAAACUUGAAAAUUGUUGGAACUCGGAUUUGCAAGAAAAUAUUGUAUGAAAAAUUAAGCCCAGAGCUAGUGUCAGGUCGUAUACCUAGACCUGUAGGUAUACAUAGAGUGGAUUCUACUGUUACUCUUUCAAGUAUUCGACGAACCAGUUGUAUUUAUUUCAAUUGGCAAUGGCAAUUGCAUAAAAAUGAGGGCAUACCCCCUUCAAAUAGCAAGAGAUUCUCAAAUGAAUUCAUCAGAGUUCCUUGACUCCUUUCUCCGGCUCUGUAUCCGUUACAAAAUAAUGGGUGGGUGAAUGGGAGAGUACACUAGGUGUAGUACAAAAUUAAGAGGAGUAAAUAACGUGACUCAACAUCUAUGCUGAAAAUACCAUGUACUAUAUACAUUGAAAUAAACGCGCAGUAUUCAGACCCUCGCCACGCCUUGCCAGGCAUCGAAAUCCCUUUGUGUUACGGCUGAAGAAAUAAGAAGGAAAAAAUAUGCAAGAUUUUAUAAACAUUGAAAAUUAUUUUUUGCGAUAAAUCCAUCCGUUUGAUUCACAAUCGUAUGGCAUUGUAAUUUCUCAUCGAUUUAAGAUACGACAUAUCCGGCGGACGGAUAUAUGCUACGCACACGUGCAAUAUGAGAAAGUAUUUCGCAUCUAUUGUGUAAACAUUUAUAUAAAAAAUUCCUCCUGAUUUAUUGUGAAAUUCAUUAUUUUACAGAACCGUUCAUUGUUGAUUGAUUUUCCAGAAUGGGAUGAGAAUUGCACUCUACGAUUUAUUGGAGGAUUUAUAUUUAUUUAUAUUGGAUUUAUACUUAUUUAUAUUAGAUUUAUAUUUAUUGCAUAUUGAUGAAGAUUUGAGAUGUAAUAUCCAGUAAAAUUAGAGACUGUAUCUACAUAACAGCACAUUAACAAUUUAUCUGAGUGGUUUAUAAAGUAAUCAACUCAAAAGUUUCAUUAAUGAUUAGUUUCUCUUCAUGCUGAAGCCACCAUUCCUUUUUUAUGUAACACGAUAUUCCUCGAGCAUUCUGCUAAACUUUUACUUCCCAUACAUUUUACUAGUCUAAAAUGAAAAAGUCUACUGGAUUCAUUUCACACGCACCACAUCAUAACUAUGAAACAAUUUCCGUUAACGACGAACAUGUCCAUGAGUUUACCCAUUUGAUAUAUUUUUUAUUUGCAAUUCUCAGCAACGCCAUAUUUUAUAAAUAAAAUUUCGCUCAAUACAUUGUUCAAUAUAUCGUUUGUCUCAUAUUCAAGGCCAUUUGUUGUACUAGAAACUAUCCUAGUGAAAGCUUAUUCUUAAUUAUGUCUUUCAGCUCAGAACUGAAAAUUAUAAUUUUCUCGUUACGUUACAUGUAUUAUCAUAUUGUUAUUAUGGAGUGAAUGUUUCUCAUCGAAAUGAAUUGUGAAAAAUCCUCAGCUACAGUUUAAUCAUCAAAGUCAACAUAGAAAAAUCCAUACAAUUGUCUAGGGCUUCUAAUGCGAUUGAAGGUAUUCCCUUCGUCACGAAAAUCGGUGGUAAUAAUUUUGCAGAAUGUUAAAGCCCCGAAACUAUUGUACUAUUAUUAAAAUUUUGUUUUUCUCAUGGGCGCAUAUUCCCAUAACUUCUGAGUCAUCUGCGGUUCGAGAAAUUCCUGCUGAAUCAUUCAACGGUAGCAUAAUUUUCUCUGUAUCAGAAAGAGCCAUUAGGUGCAUCAAUAAUUAAGACCAACCUGAAGGCCAAUCUUCCAAGAGACAGGCCAUUAACACGAUAGUGCAAUUGAUCGGUUGAACAGACAUAAAAAUGAACAGAAACAUAUUAAAAUAUUCAUCCAUCCAUACACAUUUAUUUAAUUGUAUUAACGUUCUAUCGACUAUUUAUCGAGGUUCGAUGAUUCGACUAAUUAGUUUGGAGCUAACGAACGUGAUGUUACAGUUCAUUACAGUUAAUUGGAGCGAUAUUCGCCCGAACUGUAGGAUUUCCGUAUGAAACAAGAAUUAUCGUAUGUUCUGUUGUAUAAAAACAACUACAUAUUGACUAACUAACAUAGAAAUUAAUUAUCAUCAAUAAUUUACUGUCCAACGAAAUACAAUACUAAUUAUCAAUACCAAUAAUAACGCAAAAUAAAUACGAAAUAAAGUAAAAAUGCAGAAACUCGUGUGAUAUUCAAAAUAUAAAAAAUAUCUUGGUCACGUAAAGCUGAUAAACAUUGAAAGAUAUUAUUUUUAAAUUCUGGUGGUAUGUAUGAGUCAGGAAAAAAAAAUAUUCAAGUCGCGAUGCAGUUUUUUGUUCGGCCCCUUGUGCAACGUAUUCUAGUCUAUUCUAUACUCUACAAAAUAUAUUAAUAUACAACUGAGCUGGGACAAGUGGAAAUAUUUAAAUAACUUCGUUGGCUUUGAGAAUUUGACAUCGUUCAGUUACAGGUGCAGAUAUAGAAGGGGAAAUGAGGAUGACGUGUUCUCGACGAUACGCAUCGUUCGGUGUAUGCUAUUCACUGUGUUGGAAUAAUGCAGGGGAUAUCCAAUGCGAUUGUGUGCGAUGUGUAAUUUUGGGUAAAUUCGAGGGGCAUCACGAAUAUACGUGAAUCGAUACAACGAUCGACAAAUUGAUCGAUCCAUCAGUGGGCCAGGAUUGCGCUGGAUUUUGCUGAGAAUGAGAAAUAAAAAAUGAGGAAAUUGCCGAUGCCAAUUGCCCAUUGUGCCAUUCGGAAAAAUGCAACCCAUGCAGACAAUCAGGUGGUCUCAGGAAGACGCUCGCUGUGAGCGUUCCACCCAACGUUUCACCUGUCACGCAUCGUCUACCGUAAACUUUGGAAAAGCAAGAUAUUCCAACUGUACAGUGAAUCAUUCUACUUGAAUGAUGAUGGUUAUUAUUAUGUUUUGAAAUAUUGAUGUUAUCAAGUGGUUAUCGUGAAAAAUUCGUUGAUAAUUUAAUAAAGAGAGAUCUGAUGAA